rnacentral:rRNA from 1 species
GUACACACCGCCCGUCGCUCCUACCGAUUCGAGUGGUCCGGUGAACCUUCUGGACYGUGAGAGUCCCCGAGGCUCYUGCGCRRGAAGUUAAGUAAACCUUAUCACUUAGAGGAAGGAGAAGUCGUAACAAGGUUUCCGUAGGUGAACCUGCAGAAGGAUCA